AAGAGAGGAGUUAAACAUGUUAUUUAUAAGGUUCUCAAUGCAUGUACUGAAUCAAACACAUGGCAUCCACGUGGGGGAGAUUGAAGCGUUUUUUGGGUUUACGAAGCACAUAAUUAAUGUGAGUGAGAGCAUUUAUGAACGACGUGAAAACCCACGACUUCCUAGGAAGUAAGAGUAAUGAUGAGAUUUUGAGCGGAUCUCAUGGAAAAUGACAAUGCG
rnacentral:lncRNA from 1 species